rnacentral:rRNA from 1 species
GGAGGCAGCAGUGAGGAAUAUUGGUCAAUGGACGCAAGUCUGGACCAGCCAUGCCGCGUGCAGGAUGACGGCUUAUGAGUUGUAAACUGCUUUUGUACGAGGGUAACGCAGAUACGUGUAUCUGUCUGAAAGUAUCGUACGAAUAAGGAUCGGCUAACUCCGUGCCAGCAGCCGCGGUAAUACGGAGGAUUCAAGCGUUAUCCGGAUUUAUUGGGUUUAAAGGGUGCGUAGGCGGUUUGAUAAGUUAGAGGUGAAAUUUCGGGGCUCAACCCUGAACGUGCCUCUAAUACUGUUGAGCUAGAGAGUAGUUGCGGUAGGCGGAAUGUAUGGUGUAGCGGUGAAAUG